rnacentral:rRNA from 1 species
UUACAGCCAUAUCAGGUUGAAACACUGGUUCUUGUAUGAUCACAGAAGUUAAGCAAAGUUGAGUCUGGCUAGUACCUAGAUGGGUGACCACUUGGAAAUACCAAGUGCUGUAAG